GGUCUUGGGGCAAGGGUUUCUGGCCCCUGGUUCAGGGAUCUGGCUUCUAAACUUGAUUCUUUCCCCAUACCUGAUCAAGAGAUAAAAGAUUGUACCUAAUUGCUUCUUUUAGGCACAGGUUGUUAGAGGUGGGGUGGGAAUCCCAAUUUCCCAGUCCUCCUUCAGCCUACUGGUAAGUGGAGAGCAGGUGAAGAAAGGUAUACACUUAAUCCUUGUCUGUGUAUCCACAUGAGAGAGAGGGAGGAAGAAAAUGAACCUGAGCUGAGAAGGCAUGGCCAACCCUGGAGGAAGCAUGAUGUCUCAUGCACACCUUCUUCUCCAAGAGGACUGCUUGUGCUAAGAAUGAAGAGUGCAGGGCAUGGGUCAUAGGGAUGCUAAGGGGACCAGUGGGCUGACAGUCUGCCUCCGUGUGAGCACUGUCUAUCCUUUGAGUUUCUACCCACCCUCUCAAGCCACAGCCUCUGUCCUUUGCCCUCUGAGUGUCUUCUUUCCACCUGGGCUACUUCUUGUUCUUUCUCCAUGAGCCUGUGACAGGGGCAGGGUGCCCAUGCAGGACAUGUAUGUCAACCUCAGUUCCAGAUUCCCAGAAGGUGUGUGAGUGUGUGUCAGAGCGGGGCUGGGGGUCAUCCACAGAUCAGAGCACAGGCAUAGAGAGAGAGCUUCUGAGGAUAGGAUCACCUGUUGGUCACAUCCUACACCCUGAAGCCUGAGGACCUGUCACUUGGACCCACCGCCAGCCAAAGCAGCAUCAGUCACUGGCCAGAGGAGCACAGAAGUCACAGGAGUGCUCACAAUGUCCGGUGUCCUGGAGAAGCUCUGGAAUAAAUACACCUGGGCCUUUGAAAACGGAGACCUGAGGACAGAGUCCCGGUUCCUGAUACACUUGCCACUCCCUGUCCCCCUUCUUUUUAUCUUCUAUCUUCUGGUGGUGGCAAGUCCUCACUUCAUGUCUGGAUGGGAGCCCCUGAAGUUGGCAAGACCCCUUGUCGUCUAUAACCCAAGCCUGGUGGCUCUCUCAGGGACCUAUCCUGUGAGGUAAGGCCAGCGGGCCCUGUAGAGUUCUAAGAUCUCCUCUUUUUUGGGGUGUGAAAAAAACCAUGAUCCACCUUUGCAGAAAGCUGAAAGACCUUAGAGGGAACACAGGUAGGAGCUGGGGUUCUGUUCCAUCUCUGGUGACCCUAUCUUCCUUGUAGAGACACAAAUCCCACCUCCCAUUUUCCUUUCCUUUAAAUGGAAAAGUAGAGGUCAGUGCGAGCAAGAUAGAAUUCAUUAUCUCCCCCCACCCCCUAACACCUCCUGUUUCUACCUAGGCUCUGUGAAUCUCCAGUGUUCUGAGCCCCAAACACAGGGUCCUUCCAGACACCUUGCUCUCAGCAGAUUGUUGGUCAGCAUGUGCGCUGAGCAUGUGCUGGGUGCCAGGCUUUGUGAGGACCUGCAGAGUCACUGCUGGAGAAGGCACAACCACCCUCCAGGAGCUCCCACUCUAGGUGGGAAGGCAGAUGUGGAAAUGGGUGGUUGCAAUUCAAGGCAGGAAGGGCAACAGAAAGUGUGUGCCAGCGUUAGGAAGGAGGGGCAGAGACCAAGUUGUGGUGUCAGGAAAAGCUCUCUGAAGGAAGUGGUCAUCAUCACUGGCAUUUUAAGGUGCUUUUUAUGGUGAGGCACUGCUCUAAGUGCUUUCUGAGGACCUGCUCACCUGCUCAUACCAGCAAAGCUCCAAGGUACAGAAAGGAGUCAAGUAACUUAGCAAGUGGAGAGGUGCCCUGGCCACAGAGCGUGCCCCCUCACCUCCAGCCCCUCUGCCUCAGUGCCCCAGCUGGGAAGGGAAGAGGCCAGCAGUCCAGUCUGAAGAAGCAGGUCCUGACAGCCACACCUCUCACCUUCCCUCCUCUAUCCAUUGGUCUCCCUUCCACAUUAAUGUUCACCUCCCUUCCAUCCUCUGUAUUGCCAACGGAAUGAUCAUCCCAGACACCUACCCACCAAAAGGACCUCAUGGCCCUUUGAAGGCUUCCCAGCAGCAGGGGUAAGGCAACUCUGUCGAUGAGUGCAGAAGCCUCCCACAGUCCUCUGGGCUGAGCCUUGCUUUCCUGCCCCAUGCCACCUCCUUCCAUUGCCCCGGGAGUCCUGCUUCCUCCAAUGCUGCACGGUUCCCCAGGCCCACAGUUUUGCCCCGUGGGUCCCAGGACUUGGCCCAUAACUGCUUCCUGCCAUAAAUGCUUCUCCCAGGUGCCCUGACAAAUUCCUGCACAUCCUGCAGACUCUGGCUUCUCUUGAAGUCCUCCUUGGCUUGCUAAGGCCAAGUCAUUUGUUUCCUUCCUUGGGUUUACACCUCUCACUCUCCACGGGGGACUCGGUCUGGCUCUUUCAGCUGGUCAGCACUGCCUGUGCACAUCUCUCCCCAACUCCAUGCUAGGUGACUUCCUGGUAGCUCGAGAUCAGCUGUGGUGGGAGCAUUUACACCGUAGGAGCUGGCCAACGCUACAAACCCACCUGCCCUCUCCCACCCUGAGAGCCUGUUCAGCAUUUACCAACACUCUGCCAUCUCACUAUUUGCAGAUUUGUUGGCCUCCCCUCCAAAGGGCAAGUGCUUCAAAGCAGGGCCACGUCUCACUUAUCUUUGAAAAGUCAAGCCUAGAAUAGUGUCUGGUACCAUGCGGAGGAGGCAGAUAACUUGUGAGAUAUGAGACACGCCCCAGAGAGCUUGUCACUUAAUUGUGACAACAAAUUACUCUGCUGCCACUAUAAUCCUUUGAGAAUCUGCCAUGCCCAUGGCCGCCUCUUGCUCAGAAGC